rnacentral:rRNA from 1 species
CUUUUACAAUGAAGAGUUUGAUCCUGGCUCAGGAUGAACGCUAGCUACAGGCUUAACACAUGCAAGUCGAGGGGCAGCAUUUCAGUUUGCUUGCAAACUGGAGAUGGCGACCGGCGCACGGGUGAGUAACACGUAUCCAACCUGCCGAUAACUCGGGGAUAGCCUUUCGAAAGAAAGAUUAAUACCCGAUGGUAUAAUCAGACCGCAUGGUCUUGUUAUUAAAGAAUUUCGGUUAUCGAUGGGGAUGCGUUCCAUUAGGCAGUUGGUGAGGUAACGGCUCACCAAACCUUCGAUGGAUAGGGGUUCUGAGAGGAAGGUCCCCCACAUUGGAACUGAGACACGGUCCAAACUCCUACGGGAGGCAGCAGUGAGGAAUAUUGGUCAAUGGGCGCAGGCCUGAACCAGCCAAGUAGCGUGAAGGAUGACUGCCCUAUGGGUUGUAAACUUCUUUUAUAUGGGAAUAAAGUUUUCCACGUGUGGAAUUUUGUAUGUACCGUAUGAAUAAGGAUCGGCUAACUCCGUGCCAGCAGCCGCGGUAAUACGGAGGAUCCGAGCGUUAUCCGGAUUUAUUGGGUUUAAAGGGAGCGUAGGUGGACAGUUAAGUCAGUUGUGAAAGUUUGCGGCUCAACCGUAAAAUUGCAGUUGAUACUGGCUGUCUUGAGUACAGUAGAGGUGGGCGGAAUUCGUGGUGUAGCGGUGAAAUGCUUAGAUAUCACGAAGAACUCCGAUUGCGAAGGCAGCUCACUGGACUGCAACUGACACUGAUGCUCGAAAGUGUGGGUAUCAAACAGGAUUAGAUACCCUGGUAGUCCACACAGUAAACGAUGAAUACUCGCUGUUUGCGAUAUACAGUAAGCGGCCAAGCGAAAGCAUUAAGUAUUCCACCUGGGGAGUACGCCGGCAACGGUGAAACUCAAAGGAAUUGACGGGGGCCCGCACAAGCGGAGGAACAUGUGGUUUAAUUCGAUGAUACGCGAGGAACCUUACCCGGGCUUAAAUUGCAUUUGAAUAAUCUGGAAACAGGUUAGCCGCAAGGCAAAUGUGAAGGUGCUGCAUGGUUGUCGUCAGCUCGUGCCGUGAGGUGUCGGCUUAAGUGCCAUAACGAGCGCAACCCUUAUCUUUAGUUACUAACAGGUCAUGCUGAGGACUCUAGAGAGACUGCCGUCGUAAGAUGUGAGGAAGGUGGGGAUGACGUCAAAUCAGCACGGCCCUUACGUCCGGGGCUACACACGUGUUACAAUGGGGGGUACAGAAGGCAGCUACCUGGUGACAGGAUGCUAAUCCCAAAAGCCUCUCUCAGUUCGGAUCGAAGUCUGCAACCCGACUUCGUGAAGCUGGAUUCGCUAGUAAUCGCGCAUCAGCCAUGGCGCGGUGAAUACGUUCCCGGGCCUUGUACACACCGCCCGUCAAGCCAUGAAAGCCGGGGGUACCUGAAGUACGUAACCGCAAGGAGCGUCCUAGGGUAAAACUGGUAAUUGGGGCUAAGUCGUAACAAGGUAGCCGUACCGGAAGGUGCGGCUGGAACACCUCCUUU